AUUGAACGCUGGCGGCAGGCCUAACACAUGCAAGUCGAACGGAGUGGCGCACGGGUGAGUAAUGUAUAGCUAAUCUGCCCUACACUAGAGGACAACAGUUGGAAACGGCUGCUAAUACUCUAUAGUGUAGGAUGAGGCUAUAUUGUAUCAGCUAGUUGGAGGGGUAACGGCCCACCAAGGCGAUGAUCAGUAGCCGGUCUGAGCGGAUGAACGGCCACAUUGGGACUGAGACACGGCCCAGACUCCUACGGGAUGCAGCAGUAGGGAAUAUUGCUCAAUGGGGGAAACCCUGAAGCAGCAACGCCGCGUGGAGGAUGACACUUUUCGGAGCGUAAACUCCUUUUGUUAGGGAAGCGGUACCUAACGAAUAAGCACCGGCUAACUCCGUGCCAGCAGCCGCGGUAAUUC
rnacentral:rRNA from 1 species